rnacentral:lncRNA from 1 species
AAGAAAGGCAGCUCCACCCUAGGACACAGGUGGGCGUCAUGACCAUGACAACCAGCAAGCCGAGGGGACGUUCGGGACAAGAGGGAUGGUGGACAUAGGAGGGCACCUCAGGCUCAGCCCCCAGCAGGCCCAGAGCACACAGCUGCCAGAAAGGAGUUCCGGCCCGGGGUUCCAGGCCUGUUUGCUAUGGAAGAGCAGGCUCCUGGAGCAUCGCCAAGGCCCGUUGCCUGGAUGGAGGCAGUUUCCACGCGGCACAUUUGGGUGGAAACGCCUAGAGGGAGAAUCUGCAGAAUCUGGGGGCACCUCACACCGGACGCUUCUCGGGCCCUCCGCAGGUGCGGCCAGGCUUGGGCCCUGACUGUCUCCCAGGUGACCUCCAUCUCUGCCCCACCAGCCCGGCUCUGGUGGAGGGACCACGAAACUUCAUGAAGCUCCGUGUCACCAAGGACCAUCACUGAGGGCAGAGGCGCCCCC